AAUGAAAAGAAACUAAUUAGCACAAACUUCAGCAUGCACUCAAACUAUAGGAUUAAAUGUCAAAAGACUGUAUGAAGAGAACAUGCUUUAGAAUGUUUGAGUAAUUAGGUUACUUUCAGUGAAUCUGUAGACAGAAUUUCAAAACUACAACAAUAAAAACCCAACCAACCAAAUAUAAACCCCCAAACCUAUUAGACAUAUCAGUCAACCAGAGUUUGGGACUGGAGCAUGGCACAGUGCUUCAGAGCAUGUGCUGUUCAUGUGGAGGACCCGAGUUUAGUCCUAGCACCCACAUGUAGCAGCCCACAGCUGCCUGUGACUUCAGCUCCAGGGCAGUCCCACACCCUCUGUCCUCACUCAUAUCCAGACAUAAAUGUACACAUAAGUAAAUAGUAGUAAGAAUACUUUAAGAAAUAACCAACCCUCUGGGCAGUGGUGGCACGUCUUUAACCUCAGCACUCAGGAGGCAGAGGCAGGUGGAUCUCUGUGAGUUCGAGGCCAACCUGGACUACAGAGUGAGUUCUAGGACAGCCAAGGCUACGCGAAGAAACCCUGUCUUAAAAAACCAAACCGAAUGGAACGAAUGGAAUGGAACCAGAGUUAACAUACAAUAUUUUAAAACUCCCCAGGUAUCAGUAUAGCUUAGUUUACUUUGCUUUUACUUAUUUUUCCCCCUAUGGAAAGUGACUUCUCUGAGGACCUUGUCUGUCAUCUAGCUUCUAGAACAAUCCCUGGCCUAUUCAUACACUACCUGCUGAGUUCGACACACCCAGCACUGAAGCUCCCUCCCUCAGGCUUUGUGACAGGAGGAAGUAGAAUUCUUCCUGCUCAGAGUCAGAGUUAAUUCCAAAGGUGACUGACUGCCUGAGCCACCUGGUGCCUGGGUUUAUCUUGCAGUAAUCCUUUAAACGUCUUAACGCAAGGUGUACUCUGUUGAGGAGGCAUAGAGAGGCCGUGUAGGUAAAUUGGCUUUGCUUUCUCUCUUGUUGCCCCUGAUUUGAGGCACUUUGUUUUUUAGGCAUCAUGGGGGAAGUAUGGACUGAGCUGCUGUUGAGAGACGGCAUCCAUUUGUGUCCUGGCCAUUUGGUAAUUUUUUUGCUGCUAGCUCAAGAGAAAAUAAAACCAAACCCCAAAACACAGACAAACUCCAAACUACUGGCCUGGGAAAGGAUGGGCUGCCCGUGCUGUCCCACUUUCCAGUUGGUGCUGUGCAGUGACGGGUUCCAGCCAAAGCCCUAGAGUCCAGUGUGCUCUCUGUCCUUGUACAGGCCUGCCCAGACAGUUGCCAGACCAUAGGCUUUUGCAAACAUUGCUAUAGGAAAUUAUAUCAAUCUAAAUUACUUUUUUUCUGAACUCUGAAAAUUAAGAUUUUGGCUUUUCAAAAGUUUUGGAUGAAUUUUAAAUUUUAUCAUUUAUUUAUUUAGAUAUAAGAUAUUGCUGUGUUAUAAUUUAGACUUUAGGUGCAUGUCACUGUGCCCAGGUUAGAAUGAUUUUAACAAAAACAAUCGUUUUAAGUUUUAGCUGAGUCAUUUGGAAGUUACUGUAGUAGCCUAUUUUAAAUAGAAUUUAUAUGACAAUACUAUGGAUUCUUUUAUGGUAUCUACUCCCUUGUUUUGUGUUUUUUUUUUCUUUUUUUUUAAGAAGUGUAGGAAACAAGGCAAACUUAUUACCAAAUAAGCCUUGAGUCAAACAUAACAGAGAAAGAACCUCCUAAAGAAAUUGAAAAGGGAAGUAAAAAUAAAAACAAUGCCCUUUGGUAGCUGGAAAAGGCAUUACAUAUAUGUUUAAUGUCGUAUCCACAGGGAAAAUAAAACUUGUAUGUUUUUUCAUAAAGUAAGAAGUUAUAUCUUAGAGUUAAGUGCUUAUGCCUUCUAAGGAUAUCAGGAGUUAUUAUUAUUUUUACAAUUGUAGUAUGAUACACACACACACACACACACACACACACACAUAAUUUUCAGUUUGCCGCCAUAUGCAUUUUUGGUGUGUAUUUGUGUGCAGCACACAUGCUGUGUGAGCACGUGUGUGCCUGUGGAGGCUGGAGGUUGAUGUUGGGUGCCAUCCUUUACUGAUCUCUUCCUUGUCUAGGCUCAGGGCUGUCUCACUUGAACUCCCUUGGGAUUGAGGAUUCCACUAGUCUAGCUAUCUAGCUUGUUCCAGGAAUGUCAUCUCUUCUGAUGGCUGGGAUCAUAGGUGGGCCACCGUGGCCCCCCCCCCCCCAACAUGUCAUGGGUAUGGGUGGAUGGGCAAUUGUAGAGCAAAAGCUUUACCUACUGAACCGGCUCCUAUCCCCAGUGAUGGAGAUUUGGGGGCCUGCUGUACUACUCUCCACGCCUGCUGUGCCACUUUCCGUCUGACCCCACACAAGGGCUCUGGCUGCCCACAUGCUUCCUUGUGCUUCUCACUGUCUGUUCUAAUGGUAUUUCAUUUUUGGGUAGUAGUCAUCCUACUGAAUGUGGUUGCUUGGUGUUUCUGUUUCCCUACUGCUUGCCAAAGUUGUGAAUCUCUUUUGAUGCCACUCCUUUUAUUUCAAAAGAAACAGUGAUGGCUGUGUGGUAUUCUAGGCUAACUCAAACAAAUGUUUUUCAUUGCUUUUAGGACCGCUGCCUUCCAUUCUUAUGGAAUAAACGAGGCAUGUAAGAUAUGCUUAGUCAGCUGUGAUUGUAAUUUCCCCUAGGGAGAAAUUGGAAUGAUGCUAUUGUAGUUAACUCUCCCCUUUAAAGUCAGAAACAACCCCCCACCUUAUCAGAGUGGAAUCGACUGUUGUGCUCCGAUUUGUGAGUUGGGCCAGAGUAGGAACAGAAGCUGGAAGUGAGUUUCAGCACCUGAUACUUGUUGAUUGGACUUCCGUGGGCAUAAGGCAAAGUCUGUGCUUGUUUUUAAACAGGAAUUCAGGUUCAUCUACAUCCUCAUAUGACCAGGCUAACUUGUAUCUUCUCAGAUGGCCGGAGGAGGAUGGACUACAUUAUCCUCUGAGCUAUUGCAAAAGCAUUCUGAGAAAAGUUCUACAUUGUUAUUUUCUAUGACAUAUCCUGGUUUACUUAAGAAGAAGUGCCUGACAUAUUUCAGGUGUUUGCUACCUGAAAUGAUUCUAAGUGGUUUGCAUAUGAUGUGUCUGAUCAUCCCAUCUUCCUUCCCUGUGAUGAAGACAGAAGUCCAUCAACCUGGUUAGCAGAGGCAUGAAACCUCCUCAUAGAACUGCUUUCAUUACAUUAUAGGAGUGGCAGUACUACCUCCAGGGUAUCCCAUGACUGCUUUCACAGCAGUUCAGGCAAUUAUCAUACUUGCUAGCUAAUCUUGGAAACUUUUUUUUUUUUUUAAAUAUUAAAGGCAGGUUUAUUGGGAAGCUGCUUUCAGGGGAGUUCACUGGCCCCCAAGGACUGAGUCCAGGGGAGUAGCCGUGGGGAGGGCUGGGGGACAGGAGGAAGAGAGAAAGUGCUCUGCUGGCGAGAUGGCUCAGUGGUUAAGAGCACUGACUGUUCUUCCGAAGGUCCUGAGUUCAAAUCCCAGCAACCACAUGGUGGCUCACAAAUAUCUGUAAUGAGAUCUGACACCUCUUCUGGUGCGUCUGGAGUCAGCUACAGUGUACUUAUGUACUUAAUAAUAAAUAAAUCUUUGGACCUGAGCAGUGUGGUAGACCAGAACGAGCAGAGGUCCUAAAAAUUCAAUUCCCAACAACCACUUGAAGGCUCACAACCACCCUGUACAGUUAUAGUGUACUCAUAU
rnacentral:lncRNA from 1 species